rnacentral:rRNA from 1 species
UACGGGGGGGGCAAGCGUUGCUCGGAAUUACUGGGCGUAAAGCGCGCGUAGGCGGCUUUGCAAGUCGGGUGUGAAAUCCCCAGGCUUAACCUGGGAACUGCAUUCGAGACUGCAUUGCUAGAGUAUGGGAGAGGGAAGUGGAAUUUCCGGUGUAGCGGUGAAAUGCGUAGAUAUCGGAAGGAACAUCAGUGGCGAAAGCGACUUCCUGGACCAAUACUGACGCUCAUGUGCGAAAGCGUGGGGAGCAAACAGG